AGAGUUUGAUCAUGGCUCAGAUUGAACGCUGGCGGCAGGCCUAACACAUGCAAGUCGAGCGGUAGCACAGAGAGCUUGCUCUCGGGUGACGAGCGGCGGACGGGUGAGUAAUGUCUGGGAAACUGCCUGAUGGAGGGGGAUAACUACUGGAAACGGUAGCUAAUACCGCAUAACGUCGCAAGACCAAAGUGGGGGACCUUCGGGCCUCAUGCCAUCAGAUGUGCCCAGAUGGGAUUAGCUAGUAGGUGGGGUAACGGCUCACCUAGGCGACGAUCCCUAGCUGGUCUGAGAGGAUGACCAGCCACACUGGAACUGAGACACGGUCCAGACUCCUACGGGAGGCAGCAGUGGGGAAUAUUGCACAAUGGGCGCAAGCCUGAUGCAGCCAUGCCGCGUGUGUGAAGAAGGCCUUCGGGUUGUAAAGCACUUUCAGCGGGGAGGAAGGCGNNNNNNNNNNNNNNCGAUUGACGUUACCCGCAGAAGAAGCACCGGCUAACUCCGUGCCAGCAGCCGCGGUAAUACGGAGGGUGCAAGCGUUAAUCGGAAUUACUGGGCGUAAAGCGCACGCAGGCGGUCUGUCAAGUCGGAUGUGAAAUCCCCGGGCUCAACCUGGGAACUGCAUUCGAAACUGGCAGGCUAGAGUCUUGUAGAGGGGGGUAGAAUUCCAGGUGUAGCGGUGAAAUGCGUAGAGAUCUGGAGGAAUACCGGUGGCGAAGGCGGCCCCCUGGACAAAGACUGACGCUCAGGUGCGAAAGCGUGGGGAGCAAACAGGAUUAGAUACCCUGGUAGUCCACGCCGUAAACGAUGUCGAUUUGGAGGUUGUGCCCUUGAGGCGUGGCUUCCGGAGCUAACGCGUUAAAUCGACCGCCUGGGGAGUACGGCCGCAAGGUUAAAACUCAAAUGAAUUGACGGGGGCCCGCACAAGCGGUGGAGCAUGUGGUUUAAUUCGAUGCAACGCGAAGAACCUUACCUGGUCUUGACAUCCACAGAACUUUCCAGAGAUGGAUUGGUGCCUUCGGGAACUGUGAGACAGGUGCUGCAUGGCUGUCGUCAGCUCGUGUUGUGAAAUGUUGGGUUAAGUCCCGCAACGAGCGCAACCCUUAUCCUUUGUUGCCAGCGGUUAGGCCGGGAACUCAAAGGAGACUGCCAGUGAUAAACUGGAGGAAGGUGGGGAUGACGUCAAGUCAUCAUGGCCCUUACGACCAGGGCUACACACGUGCUACAAUGGCAUAUACAAAGAGAAGCGACCUCGCGAGAGCAAGCGGACCUCAUAAAGUAUGUCGUAGUCCGGAUUGGAGUCUGCAACUCGACUCCAUGAAGUCGGAAUCGCUAGUAAUCGUAGAUCAGAAUGCUACGGUGAAUACGUUCCCGGGCCUUGUACACACCGCCCGUCACACCAUGGGAGUGGGUUGCAAAAGAAGUAGGUAGCUUAACCUUCGGGAGGGCGCUUACCACUUUGUGAUUCAUGACUGGGGUGAAGUCGUAACAAGGUAACCGUAGGGGAACCUGCGGUUGGAUCACCU
rnacentral:rRNA from 1 species